UCUUAUUCUUCAUACGUUAAGGGGGUUGAGUUUUGGGGUUUGUUGGGUUUUUCCUACCCUGAAGCGUUUGUUAUUCCUGCCUGCAAUCAGCAAGUUAAUUGCCUGGAGGUUUGUGUCUUACCCUAUCGCAAUACGCUAUGUGGAGUACAUAAAAGCAUAGAAACGGCUUUACCCAGCACUACUCUGAGACGCCUGACUUUCACCAUUGAGAGCACCCUUUAAUCCCCAUAGAUUUUUCCCUUUCCCCCCUUUUCUGGAAGACAGUGUAAGUAAGCAAUGUGGAAAUGCCUUCCCUGGAGAACAGCCAAGGCAGCUCCUGCUGAUUUGGGAAAACCUGCCUUGUCACUGUCGUGCCUGCAGAGGUGAGGGAUCCCUGUCUGCUGCCUCAUCGCGGUACAGCUCAGCUGCUGUCACUUCUGUCGGAGUGUGGACAAACCCUUGUGAGCUGGGAAGGCAAAUUGUUCACUCCUUCUGCCAGAAACCCCAUUGCUCACAGCGGGACACUAAUGAGGCAAGUGCCUUUGGAGAUUCUGCUUCAGAACUCGGAAGUAAAUACGAGUUUGAUAAAAACACAGGUGCGCUAUCAUCAGCAAAUUACCAUAAAUUACUUACAGGAGGACUGCUCGGAAUGAACACCUGUAGUUAUUUAAAACGAGUGUAUAAACUCAUUUAAACAAUGACGGAUUCGUAUUUAAACAAUAGCAGUCGCUCUGCUGUGUGUUUCCAAUGCUGCAGCAGUCGUCUAAAGAGGUGAUAGUCUGAGAAGAGAAAGGGGCUCUUCAUUUUCCCCCCCCCCAAAAAAAAAAAA